UGCGUCCUUCCCAAAGCUGCACGCUUGGUUGAAGAGGAUGACCUUCCCCGAUAGAGGUAU
rnacentral:snRNA from 1 species